rnacentral:lncRNA from 1 species
AAAUUUAGGCCAAGAACAAGAAUCUAAAGUAAAUAUCAUUGUUUCACCUGUGGGUUGGGGACAGAAAGAACUCGAACUGCAUCUCUUUUAAGAGGCACUUCACCCCUGACUGAUCCCUUAGCAUCACCCUGUCAAUUGGAAUGUUUGCAGUUGAAGGAGACACUGUCAAAGUAUACAAACUACACAAUAUAUAUAUACAUGUAUGCGUAUAUUAGCCAUGAAAAAGAGAGUGUAAUUACCUCCAACUGUGCAUCAUGAUCAUUCCAAUAACAUCAACCCCAAGAAGAAGGUCAAAAAGAAAGAGUCAGAAAAAUUCUCAUCCAUUCAAUCUUCUAAUAGCCUAACAGGUUCUAUGCUAUGAAAUAUCCGAAAAAUGGAUCAAAAGUUAAAGCUCCAUUUACAUACCUCUCUGUACCUGGCCAGAUAUAUUUUAAGUGGCUCAAUAUAGUCUUCAAAGCCUAAUGUUGCCAUUGCCCACAACAAAUCAUCUCCAUUAAUUGUCUUCCUCUUCUCUUUCUGGCAUUUAUCACUAGCCCUGCAAAACAAACAGACC